CUUAAACUCUCAUUCCAGGAAACAAAGUGGAUUGAUGGCCACCUCACACACACGAACACACACACACACAAAUGCACGCAUACACACACACAGCCGUUCCUCUUGUUUUUGGUUAAUUAGGUGGGAUUUAUCAAUGAAAAGAAGACACAAGCUGAGAUGAUCCUACCAAAGGCAGCCAGAUUCAUCAUUCUCCUCCUUCUGGCUGCAAACAUCUAUUGGGAGACUAAGGGUGACGCUCAACCUCCGGAAUUGUUUACACAAGAUGGAAAUUACAGACAUCAAUCCCAGAAACAUGUCAGGGAGAAAAGAAUUGCCACGAGUGAAACAAUAUCACUGGACAUUGUCCUCACGGUGGACACACCAACCAACAUGGAGCCAUCAGAGAUCAUUAAUCGGUUGAGGGACGCCGUGGCUAACGUCUCAUCGGCUUUAGAGAUAACUGAUGAUUUAACACUGUCAAGCUGGACCUUGU